rnacentral:tRNA from 1 species
CAGAAAAUAGUUUAGUUUA